CCCUUAGAUGUCCUGGGCCGCACGCGCGCUACACUGAUGCAUUCAACGAGUAUUUCCUUGGCCGAGAGGCCUGGGCAAUCUUUUAAACCUGCAUCGUGAUAGGGAUAGAUUAUUGCAAUUAUUAAUCUUGAACGAGGAAUUCCUAGUAAACGCAAAUCAUCAAUUUGCAUUGAUUACGUCCCUGCCCUUUGUACACACCGCCCGUCGCUACUACUGAUUGGAUGUUUAAGCGAGGUUCUCGAACUGCUAGCGACUUAGCUUCGGUGAGGUCGCAGUGUGGGAAGUGAACCUAGCUUUGGUGUCUAGAGGAAGUAAAAGUCGUAACA
rnacentral:rRNA from 1 species